rnacentral:sRNA from 1 species
GACGGUUUAGGAUAAGGUGCACGACUGUCUUAGGAUGAGGUGCACAACAGUUUAGGAUGAAGUGCACGACGGUUUAGGAUAAGGUGCACGACUGUUUAGGAUGAGGUGCACGAUGGUUUAGGAUGAGGUACACGAUGAUUUAGGAUGAGGUACACAACUGUUUCGGCUGAGGUACACAACUGUUUAGGAUGAGGUACACAACUGUUUAGGAGUAGGUACACGAUGGUUUGGGAUGAGGUGCACGAUGGUUUGGGAUGAGGUACACAACUUUUUAGGAUGAGGUACACGACUGUUUAGGAUGAGGUGCACGACUGUUAAAGAAUGAGGUACACGACUGUUUAGGAUGAGGUGCACGACUGUUUAGGAGAAGGUGCACGACUGUUUAGGAUGAGGUACUCAAGUGUUUAGGACGAGGUACACAACUGUUUAGGAUGAGUUACACGACUGUUUGUAUGAGGUGCACAACUGUUCAGGAUGAGGUGCACGACUGUUUAGGAUUAGGUGCACGACUGUUGAGGAUGAGGUGCACAACUGUUUAGGAUGAGGUGCACGACUGUUUAGGAUGAGGUACACGACUGUUUAGGAUGAGGUGCACAACUGUUCAGGAUGAGGUACACGACUGUUUAGGAUGAGGUGCACAUUUGUUCAGGAUGAGGUACACAACUGUUUAGGGUGAGGUACACGACUGUUCAUUAUAAGGUGCACAUUUGUUCAGGAUGAGGUGCACAACUGUUCAGGAUGAGGUGGACAACUGUUCAGGAUGAGGUACACGACUGUUUAGGAUGAGGUGCACGACUGUUUGAGAUGAGGUGCACGACUGUUUAGGAUGAGGUGCACGACUGUUUAGGAUAAGGUGCACAACUGUUUAGGAUGAGGUGCACGACUGUUUGAGAUGAGGUGCACGACUGUUUAGGAUGAGGUGCACGACUGUUUAGGAUAAGGUGCACAACUGUUUAGGAUGAGGUGCACGACUGUUUGAGAUGAGGUGCACGACUGUUUAGGAUGAGGUGCACGACUGUUUAGGAUGAGGUGCACGACUGUUUAGGAUGAGGUGCACGACUGUUUAGGAUGAGGUGCACGACUGUUUAGGAUGAGGUGCACGACUGUUUAGGAUGAGGUACACGACUGUUUAGGAUGAGGUGCACGACUGUUUAGGACGAGGUGCACGACUGUUUAGGAUGAGGUACACGACGGUUUAGGAUGAGGUGCACGACUGUUUAGGAUGAGGUGCACGACUGUUUAGGAUGAGGUGCAUGAUGGUUUAGGAUGAGGUACACGAUGAUUUAGGAUGAGGUACACAACUGUUUAUAAUGAGGUGCACGACUGUUUAGGAUGAGGUGCACGAUGGUUUAGGAUGAGGUACACGAUGAUUUAGGAUGAGGUACACAACUGUUUAGGAUGAGGUACACGACUGUUUAGGAUGAGG